CAUCCACUGAUGCCAGCAGUGGCAUCUCCAAGCCAAUGUGCUUUGCUGUUAGAAGGCCAAGGUUAGAAGUGCAGCCAGCGUGGCAUGACCAGGAAAUAAAUGCCAGUUUAUUAAAUAACGAGUAAGCCACCGUUUCAAGCCUGCCCUAUGGAGGAAAUGCCAGUUUAUUAAAUAACGAGUAAGCCACCGUUUCAAGCCUGCCCUGUGGAGGAAAUGCCAGUUUAUUAAAUAACGAGUAAGCCACCGUUUCAAGCCUGCCCUGUGGAGGAAAUGCCAGUUUAUUAAAUAACGAGUAAGCCACCGUUUCAAGCCUGCCCUGUGGAGGAAAUGCCAGUUUAUUAAAUAACAAGUGCAGAUUGAUGAGUAUGAUCACUCCAAGCCCAUCCAGGGGCAACAGAAGAAGCCCUUUGAGGUGCACUGGAGGAAGCACACCCUGUCCUAUGUGGACGUCGGCACUGGGAAGUGCACAGCCAGAGGACAACAC
ensembl:lncRNA MUC20-OT1 MUC20 overlapping transcript